rnacentral:tRNA from 1 species
UUAAUUAAAGCCAAAUUAGAGGCGUGUUGCUGUUAACAACAUUAUUAAACUUUAAGUUUUAAUUAAA